GUCCACGCUGUAACGAUGUGAACUAGUUGUUGGAGGAUAUUGACCCCUUCAGUGACGCAGCUAACGCAUUAAGUUCACCGCCUGGGGAGUACGGUCGCAAGACUAAAACUCAAAGGAAUUGACGGGGGCCCGCACAAGCGGUGGAGCAUGUGGUUCAAUUCGACGCAACGCGAAGAACCUUACCUGGGCAAGACGCUAGCGGCUAGUCGUAGAAAUACGAUGUUCUACUUCGGUAGACUGCUAGACAGGUGCUGCAUGGCUGUCGU
rnacentral:rRNA from 1 species